AAAUUGAAGAGUUUGAUCAUGGCUCAGAUUGAACGCUGGCGGCAGGCCUAACACAUGCAAGUCGAACGGUAACAGGAAGCAGCUUGCUGUUUCGCUGACGAGUGGCGGACGGGUGAGUAAUGUCUGGGAAACUGCCUGAUGGAGGGGGAUAACUACUGGAAACGGUGGCUAAUACCGCAUAACGUCGCAAGACCAAAGAGGGGGACCUUCGGGCCUCUUGCCAUCAGAUGUGCCCAGAUGGGAUUAGCUUGUUGGUGAGGUAACGGCUCACCAAGGCGACGAUCCCUAGCUGGUCUGAGAGGAUGACCAGCCACACUGGAACUGAGACACGGUCCAGACUCCUACGGGAGGCAGCAGUGGGGAAUAUUGCACAAUGGGCGCAAGCCUGAUGCAGCCAUGCCGCGUGUAUGAAGAAGGCCUUCGGGUUGUAAAGUACUUUCAGCGGGGAGGAAGGUGUUGUGGUUAAUAACCGCAGCAAUUGACGUUACCCGCAGAAGAAGCACCGGCUAACUCCGUGCCAGCAGCCGCGGUAAUACGGAGGGUGCAAGCGUUAAUCGGAAUUACUGGGCGUAAAGCGCACGCAGGCGGUCUGUCAAGUCGGAUGUGAAAUCCCCGGGCUCAACCUGGGAACUGCAUUCGAAACUGGCAGGCUUGAGUCUUGUAGAGGGGGGUAGAAUUCCAGGUGUAGCGGUGAAAUGCGUAGAGAUCUGGAGGAAUACCGGUGGCGAAGGCGGCCCCCUGGACAAAGACUGACGCUCAGGUGCGAAAGCGUGGGGAGCAAACAGGAUUAGAUACCCUGGUAGUCCACGCCGUAAACGAUGUCUACUUGGAGGUUGUGCCCUUGAGGCGUGGCUUCCGGAGCUAACGCGUUAAGUAGACCGCCUGGGGAGUACGGCCGCAAGGUUAAAACUCAAAUGAAUUGACGGGGGCCCGCACAAGCGGUGGAGCAUGUGGUUUAAUUCGAUGCAACGCGAAGAACCUUACCUGGUCUUGACAUCCACAGAACUUUCCAGAGAUGGAUUGGUGCCUUCGGGAACUGUGAGACAGGUGCUGCAUGGCUGUCGUCAGCUCGUGUUGUGAAAUGUUGGGUUAAGUCCCGCAACGAGCGCAACCCUUAUCCUUUGUUGCCAGCGAUUAGGUCGGGAACUCAAAGGAGACUGCCAGUGAUAAACUGGAGGAAGGUGGGGAUGACGUCAAGUCAUCAUGGCCCUUACGACCAGGGCUACACACGUGCUACAAUGGCGCAUACAAAGAGAAGCGACCUCGCGAGAGCAAGCGGACCUCAUAAAGUGCGUCGUAGUCCGGAUUGGAGUCUGCAACUCGACUCCAUGAAGUCGGAAUCGCUAGUAAUCGUGGAUCAGAAUGCCACGGUGAAUACGUUCCCGGGCCUUGUACACACCGCCCGUCACACCAUGGGAGUGGGUUGCAAAAGAAGUAGGUAGCUUAACCUUCGGGAGGGCGCUUACCACUUUGUGAUUCAUGACUGGGGUGAAGUCGUAACAAGGUAACCGUAGGGGAACCUGCGGUUGGAUCACCUCCUUACCUUAAAGAA
rnacentral:rRNA from 2 species